UUCAAUCAUUCAAUGCACCUUUCUGACUUGAGAAAUUGUCAUAUUUGACAGAGGGAAGGCUUUCAAACCUGUUGCGUUUUUAUAAGGAGCUUUCAAAUCCAUUCACGCUAAUAAAAGGCUCCAAAGUUAACCUUGCACAUGAAGAAGAUUCAACUACCAACAGCUGAUCCAUAGCAACUGUGAAAUACAACGACCUUCUGCCCAGGCGAUAUGUUUAAUUGGCUUCUCUACCUCAGCACCCUGCAUUAUUGUGUAUCGUUCGUACAAGCACAAGAUGAAGCAGAGAUUUACCUGGCACCUGGCACCUCGCCGUUGUUUCUCGGGGUGGAUGAAGAGGUCAUGAAUAUUACUCAUGUCUUCCAAUGGGAAAAAAUUGACAAACGCUCAGGGAAUCGGACCACCACGGAACACGUUCUCCAGUUCCAUGUUGGAUCUCCAAAACAUGCCGUUAUACAAAAAUACAAUGGGCGCAUCCACUUCAACCGUCUCAAUGGUUCAUUUCUCUUCAGUAAUCUGACCUCUGCA